UCUAAAAAAAAAAGGGCAACAGGUUUUUACAAGGUUAGCUCUGUUUGAGCCUGAGUCCCACUCUGGGCACCAUACUUCCCGAACCAUCCCAGACUUUUAGGCGGGAAUCCUGCAAAGAAUCCCAGCCCCCAUUGGCAGCUACCAGGAGUGCUGUGUGGAAGCAGAUGAAUUCCUGUUAAAGGCGUUAGUUCAGGCUCUUGGAAGUGGUCUUCGAGGAGGCCUGCACCCCAGCCCUCUUCAUCUUCCCACUCCCAGCUUGCCAUCUCUGUCUAAAGAUUCAACUCAUCCUUUCGCCAUUCUCAGGUUGACUUGAGGUGAUCUGAAGACCCCUAAGCCCCUCUUUCCAAACUGUCUAAGCCACUGUCAGCUCCUCGUGAACUUGGGAACACAGUCGGAACUCUGCCUUUCCCACGGGUCGAGGUGUGACUCGGACUGGGCCAGUGCUGGUGGAAGGUCUGCCUGGAAGACUUCCAUCUUCCUGCUUUAGAAAACGCAGAAGAAAGCCCGUUUACUAAUCUUCAAGCUUCUGGCAAACCUCACCGAUGUGCACAGUCGGCCUCUUAAUGGCAUCCCAGGACCCCUUGGGGCCAGUCUUUCAUCAUCACUCAGCACCCUGUAGAGUGGGUGGAUGCCAGGUGCGUCUUCGAGCAGAGGACUAAGACGAUGACGAUGACGUUGAGAAGAGGUGGGGCAGUGGUCCAAGCUCCGAGGGCAGCUCUGGAGCUAGACCAGAGGAAGGCUUUUCCUCGGCCUCUCCUACAUCGCCACACAGUGAGACAUGACAUGGGGUUUUUUUUAACUUCUCCCUUGGCCUUACUGGUAACCUACACCCUUCCGAAAAGCUAUCUCGGAAAUAUUGGCUAAGUAGAGGUGGAAGCAUCUUCGCUGCCCUGUGCCGUGUGCGCUGUGCAGGACGCCGGGCUGGGAGUGGGCAGGGCCUCACCCUGUCGUGGCGGGACCUCUUCUCACUGCUCCGCCUGCAAACCCUGCCCCAUGGUGCUUGGAACAAAGGAGAGAGCAGACUGGGUAGGCCCUUGGCAUUCUUCACAGGAGCUCUGAGGAGCCCUGAGUUUCUUUAGGAAGAAAGAAAGGGAGGAGAAGUGGAGGGAGGGAUUCUUAAAGUACCAUUCGGAAGACAAAGCAGCAACUUUUGUAUUGUCUUUACAUGGGAAAUUAAUUCAGUUCUUCUUACCGCUAAGUAUGAGCUUGUCAGGGGUGUUUCUGAGCUCAGUGAAUACAGUAUUCUAUUUAAACGCCCAAUUGGUCUAUGAAUAGGUAUCAUUCCCAUUUCACAAAUGGACGCCGAGGCUACCCAUCCGAACUGAGGUUCAAACCCAGGGCAUUCCCUCUCAAAGCCCAGGCUCUCGGAUGCGCCAUCACACGGCUCUCUUCUGCACUUCUGAAUCCUCCCUGGUUCUCCAGGGACAGCAGCGGAGUGACUGGGACCCGCCAUGUGAGCGGGUGGCCAGCACCCUCACUCCUUCACUUGCUACUGGGGAGCCUGCUUGGUCUCGCUCAUCAGCUGAGGUCAUUCCUCUGCGUUGUGAAUGGGGAGACCUCUACUGGCCCAAGGCGGUCACUAUGAACUGCGUGUGAUGCGAGGUUAGUAAUUAGAAGUCACUGCGUGUGUUCCACUUGUGUCUGGAGAAGGAGGGGGACAGCUCAGAGCAGAAGAAGGGAGAAGAGGGGAACAGCUGGCAUCAGACCAUGAGGUUUCCUGGUGUGCGGAGAGCCCCAAGCUUUAGCACAGCUUUCUGGAACCGUGUCCAGAGGAAAUCAGAGUCCAGCCCGGACGGAGCAGUCGGUGGCUUCCCCCUACAUUCCGAGUGUCCGUGGUCCACGCCAUCUACAUGUCCCCGCUCAGUGCGUGGGGUUUUAGAUACGUGGGGGGAGGGGGUGUGUGAAGUUUUGACAUGUGAGACAAGUAGCCAGGUGUCUGUGGGCGGGCUGUUACCCAGUGAGAAGUGUUCUAGAACCCCAGACAGAGACACGUGUGGGAAACUCCCUGACUCCCACUCGGGACCCAACCCGUCUCAUCUCUAGGUCAGACACACAAGGGCAGGUGGGGGUCAGGGGAGGGUAAAGCCUCAUUCAUCCUAAAGUCGCAGCGCCUCGAACCAGCAGGUCUGGGGAGGCCAUGGGUUGCUGUGAAAGUAGGGAGCGGUUACUGCAAAGCCACCUUCUCACUGGUGGAUCUGCAGACUGGUCCGUUUUACAAAGCGACCAUCUUCCCCUCGUAAGUGGACGUUACCAUGAUGCCAGAACAGGCAAGAAUGCUGCAGACCAGAGGACCCGCCUGCAGAGGGGCCAGCAGUGGGAGGCGGCAGACAAAAAGGGAAUCCACAACCUCCCCACUGUGCCGGGCCAGGUUGAAAACCUUUACCGGGGAAGGGGCUGGUGAGAGCGCAUGUCCCCGUGUAAAGGGCAAGUUAUUCGUUGUCAUUGUCCCAGGCCAGUCACGAGGAGGCCUGGUCAUUCGUCUUUGACAGAAUCCCAAGGGGCCCUGACAGCAGGGGGCAAUCAGUGACUGGGGGCAGUUUCAGUUCUGGCCUGGUGGAAUGGCAGGUUUCAGUUCUCUGCGGGGGGCUUAGAGCUUAGCCUGUGAUUGAGGCAGUAGGAGCCAAUGGAGCCAAUCAGGACAGCUCUUAGAUCCCCACGUACUUAGAUCCUGGCGUAGGAGCAGCGAAGGUCUGGGGGUGGCUUUGCAAUGCUUGAGCUGAUAGAAUCUUCUCAGCCAGUCAUAUGGGAGGGCUGCUGGGUCCUCUCCCUAUCCCCGUAGCCUGGUGGCAGUCAAGACUCAGCAAGGGAUGGUUAACUUUCACUAGUGGUAGCACCAGGCGUGAUCUGUGUGAGGGAGCUUAAAGGUCAAGUUCUGCAAGACUCAUUGUGAAGUGGAAGAAGUUAGAGACAGACUUUCCUAACGCUCCUCUGUUAGGGUGGACUCUAACAAUGAGGACAGUUGAGCAAUUUGGUUCUCUGUGUCUCAGUUACAACUAGACCAGUGUGAGCGUGAGCACAGUGUGCAUCCACAGACAAGUACCUUCCCCGUGCGCUUUAGAAA